rnacentral:lncRNA from 1 species
GGACCCUCCAUUUUCUCAGUUGUCCUGGGAUUCGUUGAGUGGCGUAGUCGGUGCUUCCGGCGGCGCCUCCUCUUCAUGUAUAGUUAUCUUCUCUCUCCAUACCUGACUCGGUGCUACGGUCUCCUCAGGAUAAUCUUAUUUAAAUUGUAUGUCUUCUAACCUUAUCACUUCUCUUUCAUAGUCUGCCCAUCCUUCCUUGAUGAUUUGCCUCCUCUGGUUGCGGUUGCGUCGUUUUCUUCUGACCUGCUUAGAGUCUUCAACGAUAUAGUUAGGGUCAGUAAAAUAGCGGCGUACCUUCUCUGAGGGAAAGUGCAUAUGGACUUCUCCAGUUCCAAUGUAGAUAAUUGCUUUAACGGUGCUGAGGAACGGUCUUCCAAGGAUGAUGGGUGGAUCAUAUUCGUCUUCUCCCAUGUCAAUAACCUGAAAGUCUGUAUAGACAAAAUUAUCGUCUAUUUUGAUAGGGACAUCAGUUACUAUACCUUUAACCUCUCAAAAUGUCUGAUCUGCCAUCUGAAGGUAAAUGUAUGUUGGUUUUAAGGGCAUGGUUCCGAACAAGAGUCGAUAGGUGACUGCGGCCAUUAUGUUG